rnacentral:tRNA from 1 species
UGAAUGAAAGUGAAAGAAAUGAAGUUUAACCCCCUCGCCUUUUCUUUUCCGGCAAACCAAUCAUUCCCCGAAAGGCUCCUAUCU